ACUCCACACAGAAAGGCCCUCGCCGGCCACGGGGCUCGAACCCGGACCUUCUUGCUGUGAGGCGACAGCGCUAACCACUACACCACCGUGCCGCCCUAACCAAUAACCAAACUUAAUAAUAAACUUAAUCAAUAACCAAACUUCAACUCAAUGUGUGAUCUUUAUUUUAUGUUGCAAUUCACAAUUAUUCUAUGGUUUUCCUAAAAAAAAAAGUAGUACUCACAAAAUAGGGGGCAAGUGAUAAUAUUGGGGGGCAAGUGGAAAUUUACCCCUGCAAGUAGGUUUAAAAGUUAAUGUCGAGCCCUGGAGUCUCAGCCAGGAAAACUGGUUCCAGAGCAGCACCAACACUUUGCUGGUCUAGAACCAAGAACUUCUUACAUCAGGGGCGGGGGUGGGAUUACUGUAACCAACAAGACCAACUAAAACUUUGUGACCGCCAUUAAAAUAAACACACAAAGCCCGAGUCUGACUAAUCCACAGGUCAGAAAUAGAUCCUGAAAUAAAAUAGAUAUAGAAAAAAUAAACUCUGUGUGUGAUUUUGUGUCACACUGGAAUCUGCUCCAGUCAUCUAUCAGUGACCCAAACAUCAGAAAAACAAUCUGCUUUUAAAUUUCAGUCUGUGAUUUUCAGGAUAAAAACAAAAACGGCCUAUUAAUUUCUGUUACUGUCACAAAAAUGACCAUAUAUACACUGAUCGUUACUAUCCUUUUGACUGUCAGUACUGUAAUCAGCUCAGUAUUCAGGCUCCACUUUGGAAAUAGACUUCCUCAUGAAUUCUGUGUUCACGUCUCCUGUAAAGAUCAGAGCACAGCCCCGUGUGAUCAUCGACCACAGGCACUGAAUGUGGCGCUGCGUCAGAGAGCGGAAGAAGAGAGCGAUAAAACACUGAAUGAAAGAAAGUCUGCAGUUUCUUUAGGUGACUCAUUUUAGAUUUUUCAGAUCACGGAUCCGCCAAUGGCAGUUAAAUACUACCGCUGAAAAAAUAAAAAGUCUGUGUGUAUUUUUAUUUUUAUUUGAACCGCCAAAACGUACAAAAAGAAAUGACAAAAUUUUGGGGUCACAUAUUUUUCUUGUAACAGCAUUGUAUUCCCAGUACCAAAUCCUAUUUGUCACAAGUAAAAAGGAAAAAUCGUAAAUACAAACAACAACAUGUGUUGUAUAUAUCCACUUCAGCCAAGUCAGAAAACGAAACUAUUUACGACAUUGCGUAUUCACUUGAAUGUUAGAGUUGAAUGUUGUAAAUUCUACGGGGUGAUUUACGACCACUUUGCGACAGUAUAAACCUCGUGCUGAUCAUGGCCGAUGCUGACAGCAUGGCUUCUGAGCCAUCAACUCAACUCUAUGUAAGCAUAACAUGGUAAACAAAAAUCAAUUCAUUGUCUCACCGACCAAAACGUGGGCGAUUUCGUCUCUCAAGUGUUGAAGAUAAACAAUGAAAAGAUCAAAACAAUCUUUGGUUCACAGAGAGAAGGUAGCGAUUUAACCAGGGCCAUGCUGAACAUGCCUGCAGUAACAUUAGUUCGAGCUUUUGGCUGCAGAUAUCUGACUGUAGAAUUAGAAGAGGAAGGUGCUGGAGAGAGUCCUAUCGAACCGAGUAUCACGAAGAUAUCAGCCCUCGAUGUGCUAAUGAGAGCUCAACGGUCAUAUGACCACACACCUUCAGAGAAAACCGGGGCCCAUGUUCUCCUGGUUGGAGACGUCGCUGAGUCCUUCAUCCGCAUCAUGUCAACUUCUUCCAAAACAUCUUCAUGGAUGCUUGGAAUUCCAUGAAGCUCAUUGUGUACCGUGGCCCACACUCACAGGGUCAGCGGGAGGUCAAUCCACUUCCUAAUGCUGUUAUUAUAAUGCUUCAUAGCACACUUCAGCUGGAGAUAAACCCAGCCAGAGGACACCAGCUCACCUGGCAGGGUUUAUCCGAGGGAUUCGGAGUCACAGAAAUGUUUACACAAUCACAGGUUUCAGCAUUUGUGAACUUUUAGCUUGUUAGCUUGUUGCUGAGGUAAUCUGCACAGGAAAAAUGACUGAGCGGUUUUUCCAGAGUUAAAAGUAUUUUCCUCAAAAAUCGUGAAUUUUGCUCUAUUUUGAGUUUAGAGAGUAAAAUUUGGAGUUGGAGCAAAAUUACAGAGUAACUGUGUGACAGAGUUGGUUGUGGCUCUGAACUGAGUAAACUAGUACAAGAGUUCAUUUCAAGACUCACUGAAUCGAGUCAAAUCCCACCACAGAGUAAAAUAUUCACACUCAACUGAGGAGAACUGACUCUGGACAAUCUGCUCUAUCAAAAGAGUAACUUUUACUCUUUUCAGAGAGGGAACAAAUGUUAUCUGGCAGAGAGUACAAUUUUCUUCAGUUUGAGUAAAUUUUACUCAGGCAAACUUCCUGUGUGCCAGCCUUUGGGUCACAUUCAGACAGCUAGCGCUGCCUUUUGAGCUAUAUAGCUAAAAGUGUUAUUUUAAAAAUAAAACCAAAUAGUUUAUUCGUGAUGAUAUAAUUUAUUCAAACUAACACACCAAAAAUAUCGUAAUACGCAAUUUAACAACUUUCUUCUGACCUCAGGCGUUUCACUGAAGGCGUGAAAAAGUGAUGCGUUGCUCGCCAGUGAGCCGGCUCCUUGAACUGAUUCUUUUGACUCUCCAACUCGGCUCUUUGAAUCAUUUGUUUAAUCAGCUCUAAGUCAGCUCUUCGAGUCGAGCAUUGGGAAUCGAUUCACACAUCUGAAGAGUCGUUUUGGUGAACCGACAAGCUACAGAUAACGGAGAAAUGUAGUCGGGAUUUUUAAUAAACAUAGCCAGCUAUGAAAGGAUUAAUGUCACAGACACAAAUGAAGUUUUAAAAAGCAGCAACGUAAAAUGAUUUCUCCUUCCCCUGUAUGAGUAUGAAUAAUCACAGCAGGAUGGAGUUUAAGACAUUUAGAUCAUGUUUUACCUUUUUUUCCUGCACCUUAUUAAAGAUGAGAGGAUCGGCAGGAUGAGGAAGUUCUCCACAUUCCUCCUCAGAGGACUCUCCUGCUGAUCAUGAUCAAAAAUACAGUUUGAGUGAUUUUACCUUUUCUGUAGAAAGGAUGAAGGUUUAACUCACCUUCAAUGAGUCUGUCCUGCUCAGGGGGGAGGUGGGCGGAGUCUGUCCCAGGAACACACCCACACAGGCAGUGCAGCACAGUCAGUCCACCCACCUGCACGUUUUGGGAGGAAACCAGGGAACCCAGAGGAAACCCACAUGGACACGGGGAGGACACGUGUGAAUCUCAGGAAAUCUCAGGACGUUUUGUUUAUUUUUGUUCCACGAGCAGAAAUCCAUUCCAAAGAAGCCAAACUCACUUUCCAGCCCAUCAGAAAGCUGGCCAGCUAGCACACUUAGCUCAUGUUCCUGUUGAAGGAGCUUCCACUAAAAUUAGUGUCUCCUUUUCAUCUUCAUCUGACAAGCAUUCAUAUUUUAAACCGAAAUCAUGUUCAGAUAAAGUGUAUUCUUUGCCAUGUCUGCUGAUUAUGUUGCGAGAACUCCUGUAGUCACCGUUCCAGAUGAUCACUGGGAGAAGGAUGUUGUGUUGCGAACACAGAGGAGUGAAGUGGUACAGAGUGAGAUCCCACAGUGUGGUGACAGAAAUACCAGCACACUUGGAACGUCACUCUUCCAAUCAGAUUAGAGAACCAGAACUGACUGCUGUAUAAAAAAGUUUAGAUGAAGAAAUUCAUAGUUAAGUUCAUUUCUGAAUUCGUUUUUAAUUUGUGUAAUGCUGAGUAAUUUACACACAGGGUUCUCCACAGUUCCUGCACCUUCCUGUAAAGGAACUCAUAGGCGGUUUUAAACGGAGGCCCCUGCAAAAUUGCUCCUGGCCCCUGUUGUGGCCCCUGUGCUGAACAGAUAAUAAGCUUUAUUAAUUUCGACGUGCGCUGGCUCGAAGAUUGGAACUGACAUGCCGGAGUGUUCUACACGGACUCCUUAAAGCGCGACAUGCACACUGUCACCUGCAGCAGAAAGACCCGCAGCAGCGCCAACUGUAAACUUCGGGCGUGAGAGACACCAGCUGCAGCCCUGCAGGGACCAGGCUACUGCAAAGAGGCGAAGGUGUGUACCAAGUGUGAUGCCAUUUGCACUGUAAAAAAGGCAGAGCUUCCGCAACCAAUGGCAUCUUCUAUACAAAAACCACCUGGCUGAGGGGUGGAGCUUAACAUAUAUCUGUGUGUGUGUGUGUGUGUGUGUGUGU